rnacentral:rRNA from 1 species
GACGAACGCUGGCGGCGUGCUUAACACAUGCAAGUCGAGCGGUAAGGCCCUUUCGGGGGUACACGAGCGGCGAACGGGUGAGUAACACGUGGGUGACCUGCCCUCAGCUCUGGGAUAAGCCUGGGAAACCGGGUCUAAUACUGGAUAUGACUCCAUGACGCAUGUUGUGGGGUGGAAAGCCUUGUGCGGCUGAGGAUGGGCCCGCGGCCUAUCAGCUUGUUGGUGGGGUGAUGGCCUACCAAGGCGACGACGGGUAGCCGGCCUGAGAGGGCGACCGGCCACACUGGGACUGAGACACGGCCCAGACUCCUACGGGAGGCAGCAGGUGGGGAAUAUUGCGCAAUGGAACGAAAGUCUGACGCAGCGACGCCGCGUGUGGGAUGACGGUC